rnacentral:rRNA from 1 species
AACGUAGGAGACGAGCGUUAUCCGGAUUUACUGGGCGUAAAGCGCGUGUAGGAGGCGCUACAAGUUGGAUGUGAAAGCUCCCGGCUUAACUGGGAGAGGUCGUUCAAGACUGUAGUGCUAGAGUGAGGCAGAGGUAGAUGGAACUCCGGGAGUAGUGGUGAAAUGCGUAGAUAUCCGGAAGAACACCAGAGGCGAAAGCGAUCUACUGGGCCUAAACUGACACUGAGACGCGAAAGCCAGGGUAGCAAACGGGAUUAGAGACCCCGGUAGUCCUGGCCGUAAACGAUGUAGACUGAGCGUUGGUUGGGUAAAACCAAUCAGUGCUGAAGCAAACGCGAUAAGUCUACCGCCUGGGGAGUACGGUCGCAAGAUUAAA